rnacentral:rRNA from 1 species
UACGGAGGGUGCGAGCGUUGUCCGGAAUCACUGGGCGUAAAGGGCGCGUAGGCGGCAUGCCAAGCGUGUGGUGAAAGCCCGGGGCUCAACCCCCGGGUCGGCCGUGCGGACUGGCGUGCUCGAGCACUGUAGGGGCGGGUGGAAUUCCGGGUGUAGCGGUGGAAUGCGUAGAGAUCCGGAAGAACACCGGUGGCGAAGGCGGCCCGCUGGGCAGGAAGGCCUCGUGAGAGGCCGGCUGACGCUGAGGCGCGACAGCGUGGGGAGCAAACAGG